rnacentral:rRNA from 1 species
UUGAACGCUGGCGGCAGGCCUAACCCAUGCAAGUCGCACGGUAACAGGAAGAAGCUUGCUUCUUUGCUGACGAGUGGCGGACGGGUGAGUAAUGUCUGGGAAACUGCCUGAUGGAGGGGGAUAACUACUGGAAACGGUAGCUAAUACCGCAUAACGUCGCAAGACCAAAGAGGGGGACCUUCGGGCCUCUUGCCAUCGGAUGUGCCCAGAUGGGAUUAGCUAGUAGGUGGGGUAACGGCUCACCUAGGCGACGAUCCCUAGCUGGUCUGAGAGGAUGACCAGCCACACUGGAACUGAGACACGGUCCAGACUCCUACGGGAGGCAGCAGUGGGGAAUAUUGCACAAUGGGCGCAAGCCUGAUGCAGCCAUGCCGCGUGUAUGAAGAAGGCCUUCGGGUUGUAAAGUACUUUCAGCGGGGAGGAAGGGAGUAAAGUUAAUACCUUUACUCAUUGACGUUACCCGCAGAAGAAGCACCGGCUAACUCCGUG